AUGAAGGCUGCACUGGGCUUAUUUAUAUCACUAACAUGUUUAUCAGGUGGUGUCCAGUGUGAUGCCCAACUUGUCCAGUCAUCAGACCCAGUGCUGGUAAAGCCUGGAAACUCCCAUAAACUGUCCUGUGAAGGAUCUGGAUACACUUUCAGCAGCUAUUGGAUGUACUGGGUUAGACAGUUUCCUGACAGAAGGUUACAAUGGGUGUCUGCUAUUAGUGGUGACGGGUCGAGCACACGCUAUCUUGAUUCUGUUAAAGAACGAUUUACAAUCUCCAGAGAUAAUAAUAAGAACAUGCUACAUCUGCAAAUGGCCAACAUGAAAGCUGAAGACACUGCUGUGUAUUACUGUGCUAGAGACACACUGGUAGAAAACAUCCCAUGUCUGUGUCAAAAACUUUAUGACAAUUCUUUGUUAUAUCUGUAG